AUACAGAGGGUGCGAGCGUUAAUCGGAAUUACUGGGCGUAAAGCGCGCGUAGGCGGCUUAUUAAGUCAGAUGUGAAAUCCCCGGGCUCAACCUGGGAACUGCAUCUGAUACUGGUAAGCUAGAGUUUUGGAGAGGGAAGUAGAAUUUCAGGUGUAGCGGUGAAAUGCAUAGAGAUCUGAAGGAAUACCAGUGGCGAAGGCGACUUCCUGGCCAAAAACUGACGCUGAGGUGCGAAAGCGUGGGUAGCAAACGGGAUUAGAAACCCCAGUAGUCCC
rnacentral:rRNA from 1 species